ensembl:lncRNA
GAAAGGAGGAGCAAUCUUCAAGUUUAUUGCCAGGUGCAUUCAAAAACAGACCAGUCGUCUACAUCUGGAGAAGAGAGAAGCAACAGCAUGGAAAGACAACUCCUUUACUGGACAUUACUGCUUGGAUUACUUCAUGCAUCCUGUGGCCAAUCAACAACAGAAGUACCAACAACCAUAACUGAGGCAACAACAACUGAAGCAAUAACGACCACAGCAGCAGCAACGACAAUCACAACUCAAGCAACAAUGGAUACAACUCAAGGAGUGACGACAAUCACAACUGAAGCAACAGCGACCACAGCCACAGCAACUGAACCAUCAACAACAACAACUACCCCUGCUUCACUCAUCAUACCUGAUACAACUACCACUGCUCCAACUACCACGCCUGAUACAACUACCACUAGUCCUGAAACAACUACCACACCUGAAACAACUACCACUAGUCCAGAAACAACUACCACACCUGAAAAAACUACCACUGCUCCACCCACCACACCUGAAACAACUACUACUAGUCCUGAAACAACUACCACUGCUCCACCCACCACACCUGAAACAACUACUACUAGUCCUGAAACAACUACCACUACUCCACCCACCACACCUGAAACAACUACCACUACUCCAACUACCUCACCUGAUACAACCACCACUAGUGCUGAAACAACUACCACUGCUCCAAAACCCACACCUGAAACAACUACCACUACUCCACCCACCACACCUGAAACAACUACCACUACUCCAACUACCUCACCUGAAACAACUACCACUAGUCCUGAAACAACUACCACUGCUCCAACCACCACCCCUGAAACAACUACCACUACUCCAACUACCACACCUGAAACAACUACCACUAUUCCUGAAACAACUACAACUGCUCCACCCACCACGUCUGAAACAACUACCACUACUCCAACAACCACACCUGAUGCAGCUACCACUAGUCCUGAAACAACUACCACUGCUCCAACCACCACAUCUGAAACAACUACAACUAGUCCUGAAACAACUACCACUAGUCCUGAGACAACUACCACUGCUCCACCCACCACUCCUGAUACAACUACUACUGCUCCAACCACCACACCUGAAACAACUACCACUACUUCAACUACCACACCUGAAACAACUACCACUAUUCCUGAAACAACUACCACUGCUCCACCCACCACACCUGAAACAACUAACACUAGUCCUGAAACAACUACCCCUGCUCCAACAACCACACCUGAUACAACUACCCUGACUUCAACCAGUGAUGCAGCGUUUGUCACAACUCCAUUGACCACAACUACUAUCACUACUCCACCCACCACACCUGAAACAACUACCACUGCUCCAACCACCACACCUGAUACAACCACAACUUCUCCAACCACCACACCUGAGCCAACUACCACUACUCCAAUCACCACACCUGAUACAACUACCACUACUCCAACCACCAUACCUGAUACAACUACCACUGCUCCAACCACCACACCUGAUACAACCACAACUUCUCCAACCACCACACCUGAGCCAACUACCACUACUCCAAUCACCAUACCUAAUACAACUACCACUACUCCAACCACCACACCUGAUACAACCACAACUUCUCCAACCACCGCACCUGAAACAACUACCGCUACUCCAACCACCACACCUGAAACAACUACCACUGCUCAAACCACAACAACUGAAGUCAUAACGACAGAAACAGGAACCACAACCACAUUACCAACAAGCACAGCAACAACAACCACAACAACUGAAGCAACAACAACUACAACUAAAGUAACGACCACAACCACAGCAACUACAUCACCAACAACAACAACUACAUCAUCAACAACAACAACCACCUCACCAACAACGACAACCACAUCACCGACGACGACAACCACAUCACCAACGACGACAACUUUAUCAACAACAAUAACAACCACAUCGUCAGGCUUAGUAUCACUGGUACAUCUAGAGAUGACGCUCACAGCCUUUGGGCAGGUGACCAAUGAGACAAUCACUAACCUUGUUGAUAAGUUUUUAAUGGAGACCCUAAAUCUAACAGCCUCCAGCAUCAAAAUCAAACAACAAACAUUGUCAGCAUGAGUGUUAACAACCACAACAAUGGAAGCACCAUCAAUUAACAAACAAAUUUAACUAAGAACUACAAUCUCAACACUACUAUUGUGUUGUAGAACUACAAUUCCAGCAGCAACUAGAAAAAGUGAAGCAUCAACAACCAGUCCAUCAUAACCUGCUGAAACUGCCCUGUUUUCUUUUUGUUCACUAAUAUUUAUUUCUCUCCAUCAUAAUUAUAUUUACAUGUGUUUAUGCAGAUACUGUAGUUUGUAGUCACUUGUCUUCCCUGAUUGACGCCUGUUGUCCUUAAGGUCUCACUUUUUAUUUCUAAUGAAAUUAAUCACCAGGUUAAAUGGUCUUCAUCCAUCAAUACUUAUUUUUUAUUGUAAACUUCAACUUAGGCAGCUCCACUUUGUCACUUGUUUGUUAAAACAAUCUGAACAUAGUGUGUGAUCUUUUAUUUUGCUUAGACUACUGUCAUUUAUUGUGAUCCUGUUUUAGCUCCUAGUGUUUGUAUUAUUUCCUGACCUACACUAACUAUCACUGAACCACAGGUCUCUGUCUGAAGCAAAAUGGUGUUAAAUGGUCUUAUUGGGAUUUUGUUGACUUUUGACAAUUUUCAUCUUCAGGAAACUUGGUUAAAAAUCUUUUUAAUCAUAGUUACAUUCUGGGUAUCAUAAAUCAGAGAUUGACUGAAAAGUGAUAUUUGUAGCAUAGUGAACAUGAGACCAUGUGAUCCAACAGGACAUCAAGAAACUGCCACGCUGACAAGUUUGGUAACCAGGAAACUAAUAAACUAUGUUUCUUGCUUAAUCCUUUGUCA